UACGGAUUUUGGCGGUAGAUAAUGACGUUUUUUCUUGUAGUGUUAGGUAGCGGUUUAAUCAAAGAAAAGGUUGAAAAGGAAUUUUAAAGGCAAAAGUUGCUUCUGAUAUGAGAGAACAUAUAAAUUAGUAAGUUAUCAAAAAGAGGGGUUUGGACAAUUCUGCAGUGAGAUGGCCUUUUGCACAAUCCACCGUACAUAAAAGACAAAGGGCUCAUUGCCCAAUUCCUAUAAACUAUGAAAAUAGUUGUCCCACAACUUGCCCAGGGAAUAAAGGGCUCAUUUCCCACAAUUUGCAGAGUUUUUUCAUAUCAUACUGUAAGAUUAUUUGUAACAAGUUAGGGCGCUCUGAUGAUUGUGGAUUCAUUGAUCCCCAAUCCAUUCAUGAAUCAAAUGAUUUUGAUCAGAUCAACACAAAUCUCAUAAGAAGUUUUGCAAGCGGCAAAAAAAUAUAUUUUUUGCCGGUUAUAUCCGGGUGCCAUUGGCAGCUUCUUGUAAUUUCUAUACACGAGAGCUAUGCUUUGUGGUUCUGCUCAUUGCACAGGUCUCCUCCCACACAUCUCAGACAAAUAGUUGAUUGUUCUAUUCCAGCAAGUAUGAUGAUGGUUGGGAGAUUAAUUGCUAACAGUAGAAAGAUUGCAUGGAUUUCUCUCAAGUGUAGCAGACAAAAUGGGUAAUAUGAGUGCGAAUACUAUGUAAUGUAUUGGAUGACCCAUAUUAUUCGUUCUCAUAUUAUAAGAGGCUAGGAAACGAGAUUCAAGACUACUACACCAGUUCCUGAGAAGCCACUUUCAUUCAUGAGAAAAGCUGCUGCAAAGUAUAUAGUUAGAUUAUAUAAUAGUUCUUAGUUAGUAGAUUUAAAAUACAUUUGAACAUGUUGAAAUGUUCUUAGUUCUUAGUUAUUAGACUUCGUACUUAUGUGAUGUUGAAAUACAUUUGAACAUGUGUUUGAUAUGUUGAAAUUGAA